rnacentral:rRNA from 1 species
GUGUCAGCCGCCGCGGUAAUACGGAGGGUGCGAGCGUUAAUCGGAAUUACUGGGCGUAAAGCGCGCGUAGGCGGUUUGUUAAGUCAGCUGUGAAAGCCCCGGGCUCAACCUGGGAACUGCAGUUGAUACUGUCCGACUAGAGUACGAGAGAGGGAGGUAGAAUUCCAUGUGUAGCGGUGAAAUGCGUAGAUAUAUGGAGGAAUACCAGUGGCGAAGGCGGCCUCCUGGCUCGAUACUGACGCUGAGGUGCGAAAGCGUGGGGAUCAAACAGGAUUAGAUACCCUGGUAGUCC